rnacentral:rRNA from 1 species
AGAGCGAACGCUGGCGGCAGGCCUAAUACAUGCAAGUCGAGCGGCCGCUUCGGUGGCAGCGGCGGACGGGUGAGUAACGCGUGGGAAUGUGCCCUUUGGUACGGAACAACUGAGGGAAACUUCAGCUAAUACCGUAUGUGCCCUUCGGGGGAAAGAUUUAUUGCCAUUGGGAGCAGCCCGCGUUGGAUUAGCUAGUUGGUGGGUAAAGCCCACAAGGCGACGAUCCAUAGCUGGUCUGAGAGGAUGAUCAGCCACACUGGGACUGAGACACGGCCCAGACUCCUACGGGAGGCAGCAGUAGGAAUCUUGCGCAAGUGGGACGAAAGCCGUGACGCAGGCCA